rnacentral:rRNA from 1 species
CCCUUAGAUGUUCUGGGCCGCACGCGCGCUACAAUGGUCUUCGCAAACGGAUGCAUUCUCGAAGGAGAAUGCCAAUCUUGGAAUCUAUGCCUUGGUCGGGACAGUUGCUUGCAAUUUUUCGACUCGAACUAGGAAUUCCUUGUAAUCGUGAUUCAUCACAUCACGAUGAAUACGUCCCUGCCCUUUGUACACACCGCCCGUCGCUCCUACCGAUCGAAGAGUUAGGUGAAUUGUUUUGAUCGAUAAGAUUUGACUAUGGUCAACUCUCGUUGUGAAAUUCUGUGAAUCUGACUGUUUAGAGGAAGGAAAAGUCGUAACA